AGAUAAAUUCAGCUUUGAAUAGCGGCGCAGUCAGUCUGAACUCACUUCCUUAGGAAUAAAGACCAUAAGUGGACCGUUCUCCGUUUCUGCUUUAAAAUCAAGAAGUAGAAUCCAGCUCCUCCUCCGGGGCUCUUCUUGCUCGUCUCACCUCCUGUUAGAUUCCGCAGGCUUCACGAUGAAGCAGCUCUCCUUACUGUGCCUGUGUGCAUUGGUGACCUUGUACGGCGUGCAGUCCCAGACCGGCACCUACGGUGAGCGAGGCUCUGAUCUCGGCAUACAGGUGUUUCAGCAGGUAGCCCAAUCCAAGCCUCUGGAAAACGUGGUGCUUUCCCCCCACGGAGUGGCUUCCAUCCUCGGCAUGCUGCUCCCUGGAGCCCAGGGGGAGACCAGGAAGCAGCUCCUGACUGGACUCCGCUACAAAAAAACUGGCCCUUACAGGAUGCUGAAGAAGCUGCACAAGAAGUUAACAUCCAAGUCAAAUCAGGACACUGUCCUGAUCGCCAACGCCAUGUUCAGCCAGAAAGGUUUCCCCAUGGAGAAGGAUUUUCUGGAAGCCAGCAGAGCCAACUUUGAGUGUGAGACCAGAGGACUGGACUUCAGCGAUCCUCAAGCAGCAGCAGAUGAAAUCAAUGAAUGGGUCAACAACAAGACCAAAGGUCACAUCCCCAGCCUGAUCAAAGCCGACAUGCUGGAUCCGGCUCUGACCCGCCUGGUGGCUUUAAACUCCAUCUACUUCAAAGGCCUGUGGAAGUCGCGCUUCCAGCCAGAGAGCACCAAGAUGAGGACGUUCACCGCGGGGAACGGCAGAGUGCUGAAAGUCCCCAUGAUGUCCCAGCUGUCGGUCGUCAACAUCGGAGUGGCCACCACACCGCAGGGCGUCAAAUACAAAGUGAUCGAGCUGCCGUAUCACGGCAACUCGGUGAGCAUGCUGAUCGCCCUGCCCUCCGACGAGGACACGCCUCUGUCCAAGGUCGUCCCGCACGUCAACACGGCCGCCGUGUACAACUGGACCAAGACGAUGCACAGCCGGAAGGUCCGCCUGCACAUCCCCAAGUUCAGCGCUGAUGCGGAGGUGGAUCUGGAAGCUCCUCUCGCAGCUCUGGGAAUCACAGACAUGUUCAGUCAGGACAAAGCGGACUUCAGCCACCUCAGUACGGAGCCUGUGCACGUGUCGAAGGCACUCCAGAAAGCCAAAAUCAUCGUGAACGAAGACGGAACGAAAGCAGCCGCAGCCACCACUGCUGUUUUGCUGACGCGGUCCUCCCCACCAUGGAUCUCUGUGGACAGACCGUUCCUCUUCCUGAUCAGACACAACCCGACAGGUACCAUCCUCUUUAUGGGCCAGAUGAACCAGCCAUGAGUCCAGCCGUCGUCAUCACCAGUACAAGAACUGCCCACACUCACACACACACACACACACACGCACACACACACACACAUACACACGUCAAAAAUGUCACUUUAUGUCCUUGACAUUGCACUGAUUAGCACAACACAUCAUUUUUCUUCAUUUCCGAACUUUGCAUUUAUUUUUCUGGGACCUUGGAAAGUUGCCAGUUGAAAAUUCUCACAUUAUGGUUUGGCGCGUUCCCAUGACGACAACAAAACUUGAAAAAAAUUAUUAAACGAACUCUUAACACAUGGACAAAAUGAUUAUUAGAGACUAGGUUAUCUGAGAAGUUUUUGUUCUUUCCAUAUUGACACUUUCCAGGGAAAUCUUAUCACAAGUCAUGUCAAAUUUACUUUGGGAAAAUCUCCUGAAACGUUCCACAUUCCAAAUAUGACAGAUUUGUUUUCUUCCUCUCUGAUGUAAGGAAUUUAACCACGACAAAAGUCGGACCUUUCCUGCUUCCCAAAAGUUGAAACCGUUCCACUUUGUAGUCAAAGGCCUGUAACUCCACAUUUGGGAAGGAUAACGGCUGAAAUUCAUGUAGCGUUUUUGUAAAUAGCAGCUAACAUUGUCAAACAUUAGACUAACGCUUGCCUUACUGUAGAUGGAGGAAAGGAAAAAAA